rnacentral:rRNA from 1 species
UGAUCUAGCCAUGCCGCGUGAGUGAUGAAGGCCUUAGGGUCGUAAAGCUCUUUCGCCUGGGAAGAUAAUGACUGUACCAGGUAAAGAAACCCCGGCUAACUCCGUGCCAGCAGCCGCGGUAAUACGGAGGGGGUUAGCGUUGUUCGGAAUUACUGGGCGUAAAGCGCGCGUAGGCGGACUGGAAAGUUGGGGGUGAAAUCCCGGGGCUCAACCUCGGAACUGCCUUCAAAACUCCCAGUCUAGAGUUCGAGAGAGGUGAGUGGAAUUCCGAGUGUAGAGGUGAAAUUCGUAGAUAUUCGGAGGAACACCAGUGGCGAAGGCGGCUCACUGGCUCGAUACUGACGCUGAGGUGCGAAAGUGUGGGGAGCAAACAGGAUUAGAUACCCUGGUAGUCCACACCGUAAACGAUGAAUGCCAGUCGUCGGGUAGCAUGCUCUUCGGUGACACACCUAACGGAUUAAGCAUUCCGCCUGGGGAGUACGGUCGCAAGAUUAAAACUCAA